GCCGAGAUAGCUCAGUCGGUAGAGCAGAGGACUGAAAAUCCUCGUGUCGCCAGUUCAAUUCUGGCUCUCGGCACCA
rnacentral:tRNA from 1 species